AGAAAGAGAGAAAGAAGUUGAGAAGAAGAGAGGGGAGAGAAAAGAAGAGAAAUAUAUAUCUUUCUCUCUUUUGGUUUUUUUUUGAUAGUUGUGGGUUUUUUUUUGUUUUUGUUUUGUGUUUUGUUUUGUUUUUUUUGAAGAGGAGGAGGGGAAAAGAUUUUAUUUUGAGAGGAGUGGAGUUUUUCUUUUUGUUUUUGAAAAGAAAGGGUUUCUUUU
rnacentral:ribozyme from 13 species